AUUGAUAAAGAGGAUAAAGACUAGGAC
rnacentral:piRNA from 1 species